UAGAUCUAGCUUAGCACUUCGGGAUAAGCUUGGGAAACUAGGGUCUAAUACCGGAUAGGACAGCUGUUUAGUGUCAGUUGUGGAAAGUUUUUUCGGUGCAAGAUGAGCUCGCGGCCUAUCAGCUUGUUGGUGGGGUAAUGGCCUACCAAGGCGUCGACGGGUAGCCGGCCUGAGAGGGUGUACGGCCACAUUGGGACUGAGAUACGGCCCAGACUCCUACGGGAGGCAGCAGUGGGGAAUAUUGCACAAUGGGCGGAAGCCUGAUGCAGCGACGCCGCGUGGGGGAUGAAGGCCUUCGGGUUGUAAACUCCUUUCGACAGGGACGAAGCGUAAGUGACGGUACCUGUAUAAGAAGCACCGGCUAACUACGUGCCAGCAGCCGCGGUAAUACGUAGGGUGCGAGCGUUGUCCGGAAUUACUGGGCGUAAAGAGCUCGUAGGUGGUUUGUCGCGUCGUCUGUGAAAUUCCGGGGCUUAACUCCGGGCGUGCAGGCGAUACGGGCUGACUUGAGUGCUGUAGGGGAGACUGGAAUUCCUGGUGUACGGUGAAAUGCGCAGAUAUCAGGAGGAACACCGAUGGCGAAGGCAGGUCUCUGGGCAGUAACUGACGCUGAGGAGCGAAAGCAUGGGUAGCGAACAGGAUUAGAUACCCUGGUAGUCCAUGCCGUAAACGGUCGGGCGCUAGGUGUAGGGGGCUUCCACGUCUUCUGUGCCGUAGCUAACGCAUUAAGCGCCCCGCCUAGGGGAGUACGCCGCA
rnacentral:rRNA from 1 species